CUCUUUAGUUCUGAUCUCACUGCUGAGCUGCACAAUGAGCCAAGGGAGCAACACCACCAACACACCUCCACCUACAUCCACAUCUCUACCUACAUUCUCCUCUCCUCCACACAUUGCAUUGUUAUUUUUAUAUUCAGCUACAGUUAUGGUUCUACUGGUGUUGCUGGUUCUGCUGGUGAGAAGAUAUAUUUGUAGGAAACCUAAAGGUCAGGACAAAGCUGCAGAAGAUGAUGUUACUGAUGACAUCAUAUAUAGCGUCAUCACAAUACAGCACCAUCAAGAACAGCCAAUCGACGGAAGCAGAG